UACGUAGGUGGCAAGCGUUGUCCGGAUUUACUGGGCGUAAAGGGCGUGCAGGCGGUCUGUUAAGUGCAGGGUGAAAGCUCCCGGCUCAACUGGGAGAGGUCCUUGCAUACUGGCGGACUUGAGGGGGGUAGAGGAAAGUGGAAUUCCCGGUGUAGUGGUGAUAUGCGUAGAGAUCAUGAGGAAGACCAGUGGCGAAGGCGGGUCUCUGGACAGUUCCUGACACUGAGACACGAAGGCCAGGGGAGCAAACGGG
rnacentral:rRNA from 1 species